rnacentral:rRNA from 1 species
AUGAACGCUGGCGGCGUGCCUAAUACAUGCAAGUCGAGCGAACAGAUGAGGAGCUUGCUCCUCUGACGUUAGCGGCGGACGGAUGAGUAACACGUGGAUAACCUACCUAUAAGACUGGGAUAACUUCGGGAAACCGGAGCUAAUACCGGAUAAUAUAUUGAACCGCAUGGUUCAAUAGUGAAAGACGGUUUUGCUGUCACUUAUAGAUGGAUCCGCGCCGCAUUAGCUAGUUGGUAAGGUAACGGCUUACCAAGGCAACGAUGCGUAGCCGACCUGAGAGGGUGAUCGGCCACACUGGAACUGAGACACGGUCCAGACUCCUACGGGAGGCAGCAGUAGGGAAUCUUCCGCAAUGGGCGAAAGCCUGACGGAGCAACGCCGCGUGAGUGAUGAAGGUCUUCGGAUCGUAAAACUCUGUUAUUAGGGAAGAACAAAUGUGUAAGUAACUAUGCACGUCUUGACGGUACCUAAUCAGAAAGCCACGGCUAACUACGUG